rnacentral:rRNA from 1 species
UGGGGAAUAUUGCGCAAUGGGCGAAAGCCUGACGCAGCGACGCCGCGUGAGGGAAGAAGGCCUUCGGGUCGUAAACCUCUGUCAUGGAGGGAAGAAACCAUGUGGAGUCGAAUCAGGCUCUCUGUGCUGACGUACUCCG